rfam:Bacteroides sp. CAG:189 genomic scaffold, scf252
AAGGCGAAUUCGAAAAGCCUGUAAUAGAGUAGAGA